CGCCAUCCUCGGGACUUUAAAACCCCCAAUCGUCAAGAGAUAGCUAAAACAAGUGUAUCGAGGAUGCUUCUUAAGCUCGAACACUAAUUUGCUGAGGCCAAUGUUGGGCUCGAUACCUAAGUAUCUACAUGUUAUAAAAAAAUAAACAAGCAUUCUCCAGGCGUUGGGCACUAACUGCCCCGAGCACAUGGAGUGCUUGACUAAUAGAGCAAUAAAGAAGGGGUGAAGGGGCCACCUAAAGCCAGCCUUAAGGGUCUCCCUAAAAAUAACGAACUCCCCUCGUCGUGCUCGAAUAAUCCUAUCCUCGGGGUCUGGGAAUCUAACAUCGCAGUUAGGCAUUAAACCAUAUUCCCUAGCUGCAGCUAUGACUGUGUGCUCUUUAAGCCUACAGGGCUCGUCGGGAUACUCAAAAACCAUAUUAACCUGGGCCUCGGGAGUAGCUUCUAGGGGAAUAGCCGUCGGUAUUAUCGAGGUCCCUACGUCCUCACUACUGCUAGAACUGCUAGAAGAUUCUCGACCCUCACUACUCGACAUCACUUAAGAAACUUAAGACCUAGCUUAUAAAUAACUUAGAGUCUCGAGCCUUACCUGGAAUUCCCGACGACUUGAGAAGUUCCCAAAGUAUUUUUCUCGAGCACGACCUCGCAGAACUCUGAUUUACAGUGGGUAAAAGUGAAAAAUGAAGGUGAGAACAAUAGUAUUUAUAGGUGAAAAUGAUGGGAGGUCAAACGUCGCUAUCUACGACCGUCCACAGAGACACGUGUCACAAAUCCAAACCACUCUCUGCAACGGUAAUAUCUCGACCUAUAUCAUCAGCCGUCACUUCUCGAUGAAUGUUCGAGAAAUGACAUAACCCAUGUGCACCCCAUCCUAAGAGCACGAUCUCUAGGACGAGUGCACGGGGGCCAGUGACUAUGCCAAUAUUGAUAUAUCCCGAGGAGUUUAUCCCGAGGACUCAGUCUAUACCCCACCUCAUUUCUCUUCUUCGGUCCUCGAGGGCAUCUAAGUCCUCGAGAUAUUGUAGUCCUCGAGAUACCUCGAGGACACAUUUACAUUCCCUCAAUGUCCUCGAGAAUAGUCCUCGAGACAUACCACCGCCAACAUACCUCCUAAGACCUGGGUACCUAACUAACAAACAUAAACACCCAAGGAUUCUACAUCAACCCUAACACCACUUGUCAAACAAUUCCAUUACAAGUAGGACAUUCUUUAUAAUAGAAAUUCCCUUGGAUAAAAACAUCCAACCAACAUAGUCCUACUAGGAGUACACUACCUACUCCUAUAAAAGCAGAACCUUGACCCAUUAUUCAGGUGCGUUUUACAUUGUUCUUCAGCACAUAGCCUCACGCAUAUAUUUCCCUUUCUGACUUAAGCAUCGGAGGGGCGACGAGAACACACCUUGUUGCCUUUGUUUCAGGUAUCGGAAGAUCACGUUCGUGCUCAUCAUCAGUCAUCAAGCUCGGGAAAUCUACAGGUACGAUUUUUGGUAGCAUCAGAAACCAAGAUCCUUUGGAGGAUGUGCAUCCCACCCUUAACGAGGAAAGAGGGUUGAUUUAUUUCUGUUUGCCAAGAAAAUCGUUUUUCUGGUCACAACUGCGGCAGGAAUCAUAUUUACUCAUUAAUUGCUUUUGACGUGUAGUAUAGUUGUGCUUCCUCUAUACGAGUUUUUCUUUGUAUAUGGUGUUCUAUUUCGUUUUUGCCAAUGCAACACGUCUUUUCCAAAGACAAUGUGAAUUUGUUUAUAUCGAGUUUAGUUCCUGCAAAUUAUCAAGACCCUUGUAAUUUUUAUUGAAUGAUCUCUUUCCCCGGCUAUUUUGCCAACACGAAUCAUUGAGUGUUUCCUGCAAAGACACUCCAAUGUGUAAUUAGAGAAAUAGAUCGUGGGAAGAGGAAUAUUUGAGGCUCCGUUUGAUACCUAUUUUUGUAAGAAUGAGUAUAAAAAAUAUAAUUGUUACGGGAUUCACGCAAGAAAUAAAAAGUGAAAUAUGG
rnacentral:lncRNA from 1 species